CCCUUGUCAUCUAUGCCUCCGCACAUGGGCUAGCUCCAUCAAUUAUCCUCUCCUUUGGCGGCCUAUAUCUUUAGGCAUGGGUUAGCAACGUUAAUUGCUCUCUUUCUUGGCUACUUGUACCUUAGCUCACAAGCUAGCAUUGUUGGCCACACCUUUCCAAAUUCACCUAUGCUAACCACAACGAGGGCCGAUGAGUGGGUGAAAGACUAUACUUAAACAAAAACAGAAUCUACUUGAUUAAAACAUAUCUUUAAUAAUAGUAAUAAUAAUAUUAAUGUGAGCGUGAGUUAUCUCUCUAGGCAUUAAAAACAAAAAAAACAUGCAACACAGAGCAAAACAAGCUCAAGUUUGUGGACAGCAAAUUGCUAUCUCCGGGUCUAAAGCCUAGUCAUUCUUGCAUCUCUCUUGGACGAGCUUGUUUUGCGCAGCGAAGGCUUCAUUCCUUCAGCCAAGCAGGAAGAGAUAAAGGUCUUCUCUGUGCCUAUAAAUUGUGCUAAUCUUGGGGUUUGGCACCAUCGCAGAGCUGCAGUUCAUCUCCUUGAGAUAAAAAGAUGGCAGAUCAAGCGGACGUGAAUGGACGUGUUGAGGAGCCAGAAAAGAAAGAGAAGGACAAGAAGAAGAAGGAUAAAGAAAAGAGUGCUGAUUCCAAGGAAAAGACACAAGAUCCAGCCAAGCUGAGGAUGAAGCUAGAGAAGCUAGAUGCCAAGAUUGAUGCCUUGAAAGCCAAGAAGGAAGAGAUCAUAAAGCAGCUAUUUGAGCUUGAGGGAGCUGCCAAUAACUAGCAUGCAAGAACAGUGCAUGUCCCACCAUGUUGAGGAUGGUGGACGGAUGUGCAAUGUCAACUUUCUAUCUAAUUGUUUGUGUUGCGUUUCUUUUGUUCUUUGCUUGUGUUGAAACUUCUUUCAAGUGUAAAAAGCCUCCCACAAAUGGAAUAGGCAAUUUUUGGGAACAGGAA